UCUCUGUUCACGUGCCUUCUGAAGAUAGUUAAGAACAAGUAAGUAGCGGGCAUCAUGACUCCAUGGUUUCUGAUGAAUUACUUCUGCAGGUAUUUGAUGGCUCGUGGUUGACUAGAACACUUCUUUGAACAAGUUGGAAAAGUAAACUUUGGAUUAUUGUUCUCAGUGGCAUAGCAUGCAACUGCUCCAGCGCCAUGAAUAUCAU
rnacentral:lncRNA from 1 species